CAUACAGGCAUACGGCUCAGUAACGCGUAGUCAACCUAACCUAUGGACGGGAAUAACCUCGGGAAACUGAGAAUAAUGCCCGAUAGAACAUUAUGCCUGGAAUGGCUUAUGUUCCAAAUGAUUUAUCGCCGUAGGAUGGGACUGCGGCCUAUCAGUUUGUUGGUGAGGUAAUGGCCCACCAAGACUAUUACAGGUACGGGCUCUGAGAGGAGUAGCCCGGAGAUGGGUACUGAGACACGGACCCAGGCCCUAUGGGGCGCAGCAGGCGAGAAAACUUUGCAAUGUGCGAAAGCACGACAAGGUUAAUCCGAGUGGUUUCUGCUAAAGAAACCUUUUGUCAGUCCUAGAAACACCGAUGAAUAAGGGGUGGGCAAGUUCUGGUGUCAGCCGCCGCGGUAAAACCAGCACCUCAAGUGGUCAGGAUGAUUAUUGGGCCUAAAGCAUCCGUAGCCGGCUCUGUAAGUUUUCGGUUAAAUCUGUACGCUCAACGUACAGGCUGCCGGGAAUACUGCAGAGCUAGGGAGUGGGAGAGGUAGACGGUACUCGGUAGGAAGGGGUAAAAUCCUUUGAUCUAUUGAUGACCACCUGUGGCGAAGGCGGUCUACCAGAACACGUCCGACGGUGAGGGAUGAAGGCUGGGGGAGCAAACCGGAUUAGAUACCCGGGUAGUCCCAGCUGUAAACUAUGCAAACUCAGUGAUGCAUUGGCUUGUGGCCAAUGCAGUGCUGCAGGGAAGCCGUUAAGUUUGCCGCCUGGGAAGUACGUACGCAAGUAUGAAACUUAAAGGAAUUGGCGGGGGAGCACCACAAGGGGUGAAGCCUGCGGUUCAAUUGGAUUCAACGCCGGG
rnacentral:rRNA from 1 species